GGAGGUAUCGGAAGUGCGAAUGCUGACAUGAGUAGCGAUAAAGGGGGUGAAAGGCCCCCUCGCCGUAAGCCCAAGGUUUCCUACGCAACGUUCAUCGGCGUAGGGUGAGUCGGCCCCUAAGGCGAGGCAGAAAUGCGUAGCUGAUGGGAAGCAGGUCAAUAUUCCUGCACCAUUGUUAGAUGCGAUGGGGGGACGGAUCGCGGAAGGUUGUCCGGGUGUUGGAAGUCCCGGUCGCUGCAUUGGAGAAGGCGCUUAGGCAAAUCCGGGCGCGGAAUUCAAGGGUGUGGCGCGAGCUCCUUAGGGAGCGAAGCAAUUGGAAGUGGUUCCAAGAAAAGCCUCUAAGCUUCAGUCUAACGAUGACCGUACCGCAAACCGACACAGGUGGGCGAGAUGAGUAUUCUAAGGCGCUUGAGAGAACUCGGGAGAAGGAACUCGGCAAAUUGGUACCGUAACUUCGGGAUAAGGUACGCCCUUGUAGCUUGACUGGCUUGCGCCAGAAGGGUGAAGGGGUUGCAAUAAACUGGUGGCUGCGACUGUUUAAUAAAAACACAGCACUCUGCAAACACGAAAGUGGACGUAUAGGGUGUGACGCCUGCCCGGUGCCGGAAGAUUAAAUGAUGGGGUGCAAGCUCUUGAUUGAAGUCCCGGUAAACGGCGGCCGUAACUAUAACGGUCCUAAGGUAGCGAAAUUCCUUGUCGGGUAAGUUCCGACCUGCACGAAUGGCGUAACGAUGGCCACACUGUCUCCUCCCGAGACUCAGCGAAGUUGAAGUGUUUGUGAUGAUGCAAUCUACCCGCGGCUAGACGGAAAGACCCCAUGAACCUUUACUGUAGCUUUGCAUUGGACUUUGAACCGAUCUGUGUAGGAUAGGUGGGAGGCUAUGAAACCGGAACGCUAGUUUCGGUGGAGCCGUCCUUGAAAUACCACCCUGGUUUGUUUGAGGUUCUAACCUUGGCCCGUGAUCCGGGUCGGGGACAGUGCAUGGUAGGCAGUUUGACUGGGGCGGUCUCCUCCCAAAGCGUAACGGAGGAGUACGAAGGUACGCUAGGUACGGUCGGAAAUCGUGCUGAUAGUGCAAUGGCAUAAGCGUGCUUAACUGCGAGACCGACAAGUCGAGCAGGUGCGAAAGCAGGUCAUAGUGAUCCGGUGGUUCUGUAUGGAAGGGCCAUCGCUCAACGGAUAAAAGGUACUCUGGGGAUAACAGGCUGAUACCGCCCAAGAGUUCAUAUCGACGGCGGUGUUUGGCACCUCGAUGUCGGCUCAUCUCAUCCUGGGGCUGUAGCCGGUCCCAAGGGUAUGGCUGUUCGCCAUUUAAAGAGGUACGUGAGCUGGGUUUAAAACGUCGUGAGACAGUUUGGUCCCUAUCUGCCGUGGGCGUUGGAUAUUUGAAGGGGGCUGCUCCUAGUACGAGAGGACCGGAGUGGACGAACCUCUGGUGUACCGGUUGUCACGCCAGUGGCAUCGCCGGGUAGCUAUGUUCGGAAGAGAUAACCGCUGAAAGCAUCUAAGCGGGAAACUCGCCUUAAGAUGAGAUAUCCCUGGGGACUAGAUCCCCUUGAAGGGUCGUUCGAGACCAGGACGUUGAUAGGUCAGGUGUGUAAGCGCAGUAAUGCGUUCAGCUAACUGAUACUAAUUGCCCGUAAGGCUUGAUCCU
rnacentral:rRNA from 1 species